rnacentral:snoRNA from 1 species
GGGGGUUCUUAUCGAAUCUGAGAUAGUAGGCCGAAUCAGAUGAGUUGGUUAAUGAGCCAGAAGCAUAUUUUACUGACUGUUGCUGUUGGGGGUUUCUUGUAUCUUAUCAGCAACAAUUUGGGCGAUGACAUUA